rnacentral:rRNA from 1 species
AGGAAAGUAAAAAAGGGCGCAUGGCGGAUGCCUUGGCUCUCGGAGGCGAUGAAGGACGUGAUAAGCUGCGAUAAGCUUUGGGGAGGUGCAAAUGACCUUUGAUCCAGAGAUUUCCGAAUGGGACAACCCAAUAUCUUGAAGAGGUAUUAUCCAACGUUGUUGGAGGCUAACGCAGGGAACUGAAACAUCUUAGUACCUGCAGGAAAAGAAAAUAAACAAUGAUUCCCUCAGUAGUGGCGAGCGAACGGGGAACAGCCCAAACCAUCCAUGUUACGGCAUGGGUGGGGUUGUAGGACUACGCCGUUGCAUGAAGACAUCAGAGAAGAACUUUCUGGAAAGAAAGACCAUAGAGCAUGACAGUUGCGUAUUCGAAUGUUGUCGAAGCAUAGUAGUAUCCUGAGUAGCGCGGAGCACGAGGAAUUCUGCGUGAAUCUGCCGGGACCAUCCGGUAAGGCUAAAUACUCCCGAGAGACCGAUAGCGAACCAGUACCGUGAGGGAAAGGUGAAAAGCACUUCGAACAGAAGAGUGAAAUAGUUCCUGAAACCGUGCGCCUACAAGCGGUCGGAGCUCGUUAAUGAGUGACGGCGUGCCUUUUGCAUAAUGAACCUACGAGUUGCCUUUGCCGGCAAGGUUAAGUGUGACGACACACGUAUCCGAAGCGAAAGCGAGUCUGAACAGGGCGUAUAGUCGGCAGUGGCAGACGCGAAACCAAGUGAUCUACCCUUGGCCAGGUUGAAGGCUGGGUAACACCAGCUGGAGGACCGCACCAAUAAGCGUUGAAAAGCUUCUGGAUGAGCUGAGGGUAGGGGUGAAAGGCUAAUCAAACUUGGAGAUAGCUCGUACUCCCCGAAAUGCAUUUAGGUGCAGCCUUGCGGGUUACUGAUGUGAGGUAGAGCGACUGAUAAGAUGCGAGGGCUUCACCGCCUAUCAAGUCUUGACAAACUCCGAAUGCGCAUCAGUUCUACCGCAGGAGUGAGGGCAUGGGUGCUAAGGUCCGUGCCCGAGAGGAGAAGAAUCCGGACCACCUGCUAAGGUCCCGAAAUGACAGCUAAGUUAAACUAACGAAGUCUGACUGCUAAGACAGCUAGGAUGUUGGCUUGGAAGCAGCCAUUCAUUUAAAGAGUGCGUAACAGCUCACUAGUCGAGGAGUCGGGCGUGGAUAAUAAUCGGGUAUCAAGUUGUCUACCGAAGCAGUGGGAUCAUUUAUAUGAUCGGUAGGGGAGCAUUCCAGUCAGCGUCGAAGGCGUACCGUGAGGUAUUCUGGAGCGUCUGGAAAAGCAAAUGUAGGUAUAAGUAACGAUAAAGGGGGCGGGAAACCCCCUCGCCGAAAGACUAAGGUUUCCUGAUCAACGCUAAUCGGAUCAGGGUCAGUCGGGUCCUAAGGCUCAGCCGAACGGCGAUGCCGAUGGCAGAAACGGUUAAUAUUCCGUUACUACCUUCAGGAGUGACGUGGAGACGCAGUAGUGACAGUGCCGCCAUCUGACGGAAUAGAUGGUUGAAGGGUGUAGGAGUCGAUCAUGGCAGGCAAAUCCACCAUGAGAUCCGAACCUGACAGUAUGCCGCGUCCUUCGGGACAAGGCAAUAGUGCGCGUAAGCAUGCUGCCGAGAAAAUCCGCUAAACUUAAUCCUGCAGGUACCCGUACCGCAAACGGACACACGUAGUCGGGAUGAAUAUUCUAAGGCGCUUGAGUGAUUCACGGUUAAGGAACUAGGCAAACUGACCCUGUAACUUCGGGAUAAAGGGUCCCUACCCUUUUAUGGGAGGGCGCAGAGAAUCGGUCCAGGCAACUGUUUAACAAAAACACAGGGCUGUGCCAAAUCGAAAGAUCCAGUAUACAGCCUGACACCUGCCCGGUGCUGGAAGGUUAAGAGGAGAUGUCAUCGAUAAGAGAAGCGUUGAAUUGAAGCCCCAGUAAACGGCGGCCGUAACUAUAACGGUCCUAAGGUAGCGAAAUUCCUUGUCGGGUAAGUUCCGACCUGCACGAAUGGUGUAAUGAUCUGGACGCUGUCUCAACCGUGAGCUCAGUGAAAUUGUAGUAUCGGUGAAGAUGCCGAUUACCCGCGAUGGGACGAAAAGACCCCGUGAACCUUUACUAUAGCUUAUCAUUGAAUCUGGGCACGUGAUGUGUAGGAUAGGUCGGAGGCUUUGAAGCAGGUACGCCAGUAUUUGUGGAGCCGCUGUUGAAAUACGACCCUUUAUUUGUUUGGAUUCUAACCCAUGGAACGGGGACAUUGAUUGGUGGGUAGUUUGACUGGGGUGGUCGCCUCCAAAAGCGUAACGGAGGCUUCUAAAGGUGCCCUCCGGCCGAUUGGUAACCGGCCUUAGAGUGUAAUGGCAUAAGGGCGCUUGACUGGGAGACUGACAAGUCGAUCAGGUAGGAAACUAGAGCAUAGUGAUCCGGUGUUUCCGUAUGGAAGGGACAUCGCUCAAAGGAUAAAAGGUACUCCGGGGAUAACAGGCUGAUCCCUCCCAAGAGCUCAUAUCGACGGAGUGGUUUGGCACCUCGAUGUCGGCUCGUCACAUCCUGGGGCUGGAGAAGGUCCCAAGGGUUGGGCUGUUCGCCCAUUAAAGUGGCACGCGAGCUGGGUUCAGAACGUCGUGAGACAGUUCGGUCUCUAUCUAUCGUGGGCGCAUGAAAUUUGCGUGGCUCUGACACUAGUACGAGAGGACCGUGUUGGACAGACCUCUGGUUUGCCGGUUGUGCCGCCAGGUGCAUUGCCGGGUAUCUAAGUCUGGAUCGGAUAAGUGCUGAAAGCAUCUAAGUACGAAGCCGGCCACAAGAUUAGAUUUCUCAGGGUCGUUGUAGACUACGACGUUGAUAGGAUGCAGGUGUAAAGAUGGAGACAUCAAAGCCGAGCAUUACUAAUUGCCCGUUCACUUUCCUUA